AUUAAGUCUGCCUUCUGCGAUCCGAUUGUGAACAGAAUGUUCCCGCAACGGCCCCCGGGAUUUUUGCAAGUGACUUCCCAGCAAUUCUCUAGUUGCUGAUUUGACCAUUCUGUAGCUGGAGACGCAUUGCUAACCUGGAAGGAUCAGAUGGUGAGAAUGCAUGAUGUCACAUCAGAGGCUGCCUCCGGUUUAGCCAGCACAGGAAGAAACCAACCCGAGUCACAAAAUCCACAAUACCUGCACAGGAAACAAGAUGCCUCUUCCAUUCCUUUUGCUGUACUUCAAACACAGCCUCCUGUGGUCAACUCCCACAGUGCAGAGUUAAACUGUGGAACUCACUGCCAUGGGAAGCAGUGAUGCCGCCCCCGCAACUUAGAUUGGUCUGAUGUAGAAUUUUGAUAUUUGAUUAGACAUUAGAUAUAAAUUUU